GAACUACUCCCUCUGUCCCAAAAUUCUUGUCUUAGCUUUGUCUAGAAAUGAAUGUAUCUAAAUACUAAAACUUGACUAGAUACAUCCAUAUCUAAACAAAUGUAAGACAAGAAUUUUAGGACGGAGGGAGUACUAU
rnacentral:pre_miRNA from 1 species